CCUACGGGAGGCAGCAGUAAGGAAUAUUGGUCAAUGGGCGCAAGCCUGAACCAGCCAUGCCGCGUGCAGGAAGACGGCCCUAUGGGUUGUAAACUGCUUUUGAACAAGAGAAAACCUCGGUACGUGUACCGAGCUGAUAGUAUUGUUAGAAUAAGCAUCGGCUAACUUCGUGCCAGCAGCCGCGGUAAGACGAAGGAUGCAAGCGUUAUCCGGAUUCAUUGGGUUUAAAGGGUGCGUAGGCGGCCUGAUAAGUCAGUGGUGAAAUCUCUCAGCUUAACUGAGAAACUGCCAUUGAUACUGUCGGGCUUGAGUACAGAUGAUGUGGGCGGAAUAUGACAUGUAGUGGUGAAAUACUUAGAUAUGUCAUAGAACACCGAUUGCGAAGGCAGCUCACAAAACUGUAACUGACGCUGAGGCACGAAAGUGCGGGGAUCAAACAGGAUUAGAUACCCUGGUAGUCCGCACCGUAAACGAUGAUUACUCGUUGUUGGCAAUAUGACCGUCAGCGACCAAGCGAAAGCGAUAAGAAUCCACCUGGGGAGUACGCCGGCAACGGUGAAACUCAAAGAGUUAGUUAGACGNGNGAGAGCGACGACGACGACGACGGAGGGAGGAG
rnacentral:rRNA from 1 species